GACGAACGCUGGCGGCGUGCUUAACACAUGCAAGUCGAACGGAAAGGCCCUGCUUUUGUGGGGUGCUCGAGUGGCAAACGGGUGAGAUAACACGUGAGUAACCUGCCCUUGACUUUGGGAUAACUUCAGGAAACUGGGGCUAAUACCGGAUAGGAGCUCCUGCUGCAUGGUGGGGGUUGGAAAGUUUCGGCGGUUGGGGAUGGACUCGCGGCUUAUCAGCUUGUUGGUGGGGUAGUGGCUUACCAAGGCUUUGACGGGUAGCCGGCCUGAGAGGGUGACCGGCCACAUUGGGACUGAGAUACGGCCCAGACUCCUACGGGAGGCAGCAGUGGGGAAUAUUGCACAAUGGGCGGAAGCCUGAUGCAGCAACGCCGCGUGCGGGAUGACGGCCUUCGGGUUGUAAACCGCUUUCGCCUGUGACGAAGCGUGAGUGACGGUAAUGGGUAAAGAAGCACCGGCUAACUACGUGCCAGCAGCCGCGGUGAUACGUAGGGUGCGAGCGUUGUCCGGAUUUAUUGGGCGUAAAGGGCUCGUAGGUGGUUGAUCGCGUCGGAAGUGUAAUCUUGGGGCUUAACCCUGAGCGUGCUUUCGAUACGGGUUGACUUGAGGAAGGUAGGGGAGAAUGGAAUUCCUGGUGGAGCGGUGGAAUGCGCAGAUAUCAGGAGGAACACCAGUGGCGAAGGCGGUUCUCUGGGCCUUUCCUGACGCUGAGGAGCGAAAGCGUGGGGAGCGAACAGGCUUAGAUACCCUGGUAGUCCACGCUGUAAACGGUGGGUACUAGGUGUGGGGUCCAUUCCACGGGUUCCGUGCCGUAGCUAACGCUUUAAGUACCCCGCCUGGGGAGUACGGCCGCAAGGCUAAAACUCAAAGGAAUUGACGGGGCCCCGCACAAGCGGCGGAGCAUGCGGAUUAAUUCGAUGCAACGCGUAGAACCUUACCUGGGUUUGACAUGGAUCGGGAGUGCUCAGAGAUGGGUGUGCCUCUUUUGGGGUCGGUUCACAGGUGGUGCAUGGCUGUCGUCAGCUCGUGUCGUGAGAUGUUGGGUUAAGUCCCGCAACGAGCGCAACCCUUGUUCACUGUUGCCAGCACGUUAUGGUGGGGACUCAGUGGAGACCGCCGGGGUCAACUCGGAGGAAGGUGGGGAUGACGUCAAGUCAUCAUGCCCCUUAUGUCCAGGGCUUCACGCAUGCUACAAUGGCUGGUACAGAGAGUGGCGAGCCUGUGAGGGUGAGCGAAUCUCGGAAAGCCGGUCUCAGUUCGGAUUGGGGUCUGCAACUCGACCUCAUGAAGUCGGAGUCGCUAGUAAUCGCAGAUCAGCAACGCUGCGGUGAAUACGUUCCCGGG
rnacentral:rRNA from 1 species